CGAACACUUUCCACACUCCGUAGGCAUACGAGAGCGCGGAGAGACAGUCGGCCACCGAGAGGAAGAGAAGCAGUUUGCGCGGAGUGGUCCUCAAAUCCGCCAAACUAAUCUAAGACACUGCCAGAGAAACACCCACAGCAGCCAGCAGUCUGCCUCCUUCUGCCAACUGGUCCUUGCUGUCACCAUUCUCCUCGAGAGUGGCAUGAAAGCUGGCACUUUUUUUUUUUUUUACUCUGAUGAGCUCUCGAAGUAGAAGAUGAUCAGUGCUCUCUGUGAAAACAGACACAAUGCAGCAUGCUGUGCUAUCGACGUUAAAGAGAAACAUGCACAAGACUCUUACUAAGUACAGCUACAUUCAGCAUAAUGGAGCACAUCCAGCGUUUCGAAGAUCAGUGUGUAUGAGCCAUCCGCUUUUGCUGCAGCAGUGCAGCACUUUGUUCUACUCACUGCAGGAGGACAUGACUUUGAGCAGCCCUGGGCCAGACUUGAAACCGCUGAAUGCAAAAAAAAAAA